rnacentral:rRNA from 1 species
GACGUAGGGCGCGAGCGUUGUCCGGAUUUAUUGGGCGUAAAGAGCUCGUAGGCGGCUUGUCGCGUCGAAUGUGAAAACUCGGGGCUCAACUCCGAGCUUGCAUUCGAUACGGGCAGGCUAGAGUUCGGUAGGGGGAGACUGGAAUUCCUGGUGUAGCGGUGAAAUGCGCAGAUAUCAGGAGGAACACCGGUGGCGAAGGCGGGUCUCUGGGCCGAUACUGACGCUGAGGAGCGAAAGCGUGGGAGCAAAACAGG